rnacentral:rRNA from 1 species
GGGCCCGCACAAGCGGUGGAGCAUGUGGUUUAAUUCGAAGAUACGCGCAGAACCUUACCAACACUUGACAUGUUCGUCGCGACUUUAAGAGAUUAGAGUUUUCGGUUCGGCCGGACGAAACACAGGUGCUGCAUGGCUGUCGUCAGCUCGUGUCGUGAGAUGUUGGUUAAGUCCCGCAACGAGCGCAACCCUCACUUUUAGUUGCCAUCAUUUAGUUGGGCACUCUGAAAGAACUGCCAGUGAUAAGCUGGAGGAAGGUGGGGAUGACGUCAAGUCCUCAUGGCCCUUACGUGUUGGGCUACACACGUGCUACAAUGGUAUUUACAACAGGAAGCAAGACGGCGACGUUAAGCA